rnacentral:rRNA from 1 species
AUUGAACGCUGGCGGCAGGCCUAACACAUGCAAGUCGAGCGGGGUUUUCGGACCUAGCGGCGGACGGGUGAGUAAUGCGUAGGAAGCUACCCGGUAGAGGGGGAUACCAGUUGGAAACGACUGUUAAUACCGCAUAAUGUCUACGGACCAAAGUGUGGGACCUUCGGGCCACAUGCUAUCGGAUGCGCCUACGUGGGAUUAGCUAGUUGGGGAGGUAAUGGCUCACCAAGGCGACGAUCCCUAGCUGGUUUGAGAGGAUGAUCAGCCACACUGGAACUGAGACACGGUCCAGACUCCUACGGGAGGCAGCAGUGGGGAAUAUUGGACAAUGGGCGCAAGCCUGAUCCAGCCAUGCCGCGUGUGUGAAGAAGGCCUUCGGGUUGUAAAGCACUUUCAGUAGGGAGGAAGGGUUAAGUGUUAAUAGUACUUAACUUUGACGUUACCUACAGAAGAAGCACCGGCUAACUCUGUGCCAGCCGCCGCGGUAAUAC